rnacentral:rRNA from 1 species
AUUGAACGCUGGCGGCAGGCCUAAUACAUGCAAGUCGGGCGGGCGGCGGACGGGAGAGUAGUGUAUGGGGAUCUGCCUGAAGGCGGGGGAUAACUACGGGAAACGGUAGCUAAUACCGAAUACCAUCAGAUGAACUCAUCGGGACAUACCUCGUAGGUAAGGUAACGGCUUACCUAGGCGAAGAGCCCUAGCUGGCCUGAGAGGAUGAUCAGCCACACGGGGACUGAGCCACGGCCCAGACUCCUACGGGAGGCAUCAGUAGGGAAUAUUGCGCAAUGGGCGAAAGCCUGAUGCAGCCAUGCCGCGUGUAUGAAGAAGGCUUUCGGGUCGUAAAACACUGUUAGUCGGGAGGCGUUAUCGACAGAAUAAGCACCGGCUAACGACGUGCCAGCAGCCGCGGUAAUAC